AUACAGAGGGUGCGAGCGUUAAUCGGAAUUACUGGGCGUAAAGCGCGCGUAGGCGGCUUGGUCAGUCGGAUGUGAAAGCCCCGGGCUCAACCUGGGAAAGGCAUUCGAUACUGCCAGGCUAGAGUAUGGGAGAGGGAAGUGGAAUUUCCGGUGUAGCGGUGAAAUGCGUAGAUAUCGGAAGGAACACCAGUGGCGAAGGCGACUUCCUGGCCCAAUACUGACGCUGAGGUGCGAAAGCGUGGGGAGCGAACAGGAGUAGAUACCCUAGUAGUCC
rnacentral:rRNA from 1 species